rnacentral:rRNA from 1 species
GUUUGAUCAUGGCUCAGAAUGAACGCUGCGGCGUGCCUAACACAUGCAAGUCGAACGAGAAAGGGGCUUCGGCUCCGAGUAAAGUGGCGCACGGGUGAGUAACACGUGGGUAACCUGCCUCUAAGAUUGGGAUAACUCGUCGAAAGAUGAGCUAAUACCGAAUAAGACCACAGUUCCUGCGGGGACAGGGGUCAAAGGUAGUCUCUGCUUGCAAGCUAUCACUUAGAGAUGGGCCUGCGCACCAUUAGCUAGUUGGUAGGGUAACGGCCUACCAAGGCAAAGAUGGUUAGCUGGUCUGAGAGGAUGAUCAGCCACACUGGAACUGAGACACGGCCCAGACUCCUACGGGAGGCAGCAGUGGGGAAUAUUGCGCAAUGGGCGAAAGCUUGACGCAGCAACGCCGCGUGAGUGAUGAAGGCCUUACGGGUCGUAAAGCUCUGUCGGGAGGAACGAAUGCUCCUGAGGUU